ACUCGGCCGUUUGGCGGGAGGGAGGGGCUUUGCGCAGGCCCCGCUCCCGCCCCGCCUCCAUGCGGCCCGCCCCGAUUGCGCUGUGGCUGCGCCUGGUCUUGGCCCUGGCCCUCGUCCGCCCCCGGGCUGUGGGGUGGGCCCCUGUCCGAGCCCCCAUCUAUGUCAGCAGCUGGGCCGUCCGGGUGUCCCAGGGUAACCGGGAGGUCGAGCACCUGGCACGCAAAUUCGGCUUCGUCAACCUGGGGCCGAUCUUCCCUGACGGGCAGUACUUUCACCUGCGGCACCGGGGCGUGGUCCAGCAGUCCCUGACCCCGCACUGGGGCCACCGCCUGCACCUGAAGAAAAACCCCAAGGUGCAGUGGUUCCAGCAGCAGACGCUGCAGCGGCGGGUGAAGCGCUCUGUGGUGGUGCCCACAGACCCCUGGUUCUCCAAGCAGUGGUACAUGAACAGCGAGGCCCAACCAGACCUGAGUGUCCUGCAGGCCUGGAGUCACGGGCUGUCAGGCCAGGGCAUCGUGGUCUCUGUGCUGGAUGACGGCAUCGAGAAGGACCACCCGGACCUCUGGGCCAACUACGACCCCCUGGCCAGCUACGACUUUAAUGACUACGACCCGGACCCCCAGCCCCGCUACACCCCCAGCAAAGAGAACCGGUGUGCGGAUGCUGGACGGUACCAUCACCGAUGUCAUCGAGGCCCAGUCGCUGAGCCUGCAGCCGCAGCACAUCCACAUUUACAGCGCCAGCUGGGGUCCCGAGGACGACGGCCGCACGGUGGACGGCCCCGGCAUCCUCACCCGUGAGGCCUUCCGGCGUGGCGUGACCAAGGUGAGUGGCAGCCUGAGGAGGGCAGGGGUGGCAGGCCAGGCCGACACCCUCUCCCCGCCCCUCCUGGUUUCCCAGGGCCGCGGCGGGCUGGGCACGCUCUUCAUCUGGGCCUCGGGCAACGGCGGCCUGCACUACGACAACUGCAACUGCGACGGCUACACCAACAGCAUCCAUACGCUCUCCGUGGGCAGCACCACCCAGCAGGGCCGCGUGCCCUGGUACAGCGAAGCCUGUGCCUCCACCCUCACCACCACCUACAGCAGCGGCGUGGCCACCGACCCCCAGAUCGUCACCACGGACCUGCAUCACCGGUGCACGGACCAGCACACGGGCACCUCGGCCUCAGCCCCACUGGCAGCCGGCAUGAUCGCCCUAGCGCUGGAGGCCAAGUAGGUGACUGUGGGGCCCCGCCCACCGCCCUCGCCCCCAGGCGCGGCCCAGCGGCUCACCCGCCCCCGCCCCCCGCAGCCCGUUCCUGUCGUGGAGAGACAUGCAGCACCUGGUGGUCCGCGCGUCCAAGCCGGCGCACCUGCAGGCAGAAGACUGGAGGACCAACGGCGUGGGGCGCCAAGGUGCGGCGGGGCCGGGCGGGGGCGGGGACCCCGGGCCCACGGGGCGAGUGACUGCUGCCCUUCCGCGCAGUGAGCCAUCACUACGGCUACGGGCUGCUGGACGCCGGGCUGCUGGUGGACACCGCCCGCACCUGGCUGCCCACCCAACCGCAGAGGAAGUGUGCCGUCCGGGUCCAGAACCGCCCCACCCCCAUCCUGCCGCUGAUCUACAUCAGGAAAAAUGUAUCGGCCUGCGCCGGCCUCCACAACUCCAUCCGCUCGCUGGAGCACGUGCAGGCGCAGCUGACGCUGUCCUACAGCCGGCGCGGAGACCUGGAGAUCUCGCUCACCAGCCCCAUGGGCACGCGCUCCACACUAGUGGCCAUACGACCCUUGGACGUCAGCACUGAAGGCUACAACAACUGGGUGUUCAUGUCCACCCACUUCUGGGAUGAGAACCCACAGGGCGUGUGGACCCUGGGCCUGGAGAACAAGGGCUACUAUUUCAACACGGGGACGUUGUACCGCUACACGCUGCUGCUCUAUGGGACGGCCGAGGACAUGACAGCACGGCCUACA
rnacentral:sRNA from 1 species